rnacentral:ribozyme from 1 species
GCGUUUUUUUUUUUUUUUUUUUUGAUUUUUUUUUUUUUUUU